rnacentral:tRNA from 2 species
CCGCUUUAGUCCGCUCAGCCAUCUCUCC